rnacentral:lncRNA from 1 species
UGAAUAUUCAUUGUUAAAAACAUGACUUGUUUAGAUGACACUGUCAUACAGCAUCCAUGAUCAUGCACAAAAUUAAACCUGACAUACUUAACAUUGACAUGUUCAUAUUACACUAACAAGCUUAAACCUAACAUGCUGAACACCUUCUUAACAUCUUCACUCCUCCUUCUUCUCCUUCAUCAACCUGAUGUGCUCAGAGUGGCGAAUCCCAACGCGGAUGUACUCCUCUACCACAAUUGGCAUGGUCCUGUCGCCAAGCUGUGGGAUUGCAGGCGCCGCCACCAUCGCGAGGUCGUCGUCCGCCACAACCAUAGCAAGGUCGUCGUCCGCCACCACCAUAUCAAGGUCGUCGUCCGCCACCACCAUAGCAAGGUCGUCGUCCGCCACCACCAUAGCAAGGUCGUCAUCCGCCACCACCAUAGCAGGGUCAUCGUCAGCCACCACCAUAGCAU